GACGAUGGCGUACUGCCCUUAAUGGGGGUAACAUUUGGAAACAGAUGCUAAUACCGCAUAAAUCCAAGAACCGCAUGGUUCUUGGCUGAAAGAUGGCGUAAGCUAUCGCUUUGGGAAGGCCCCGCGGCGUAUUAGCUAGUUGGUGAGGUAACGGCUC
rnacentral:rRNA from 1 species